rnacentral:rRNA from 1 species
CAGCCCCGCGGUAAUACGUAGGGUGCGAGCGUUAAUCGGAUUUACUGGGCGUAAAGCGUGCGCAGGCGGCCCGUUAAGACAGGUGUGAAAUCCCUGGGCUCAACCUAGGAAUUGCGCUUGUGACUGGCGGGCUCGAGGACGGUAGAGGGGGGUGGAAUUCCUGGUGUAGCAGUGAAAUGCGUAGAGAUCAGGAGGAACACCGAUGGCGAAGGCAGCCCCCUGGGCCUGUACUGACGCUCAUGCACGAAAGCGUGGGGAGCAAACAGUAUUAGAUACCCUGGUAGUCCACGCCCUAAACGAUGGGUACUAGCCGUUUGGUGCGCGAGAGCGCUGAGUGGCGAAGCUAACGCGUGAAGUCCCCCGCCUGGGGAGUACGGCCGCAAGGUUGAAACUUAAAGGAAUUGGCGGG